rnacentral:ncRNA from 1 species
AAGGGCUGCAAAACCGCGAGGUUAAGCGAAUCCCAUAAAACCAUUCUCAGUUCGGAUUGUAGGCUGCAACUCGCCUACAUGAAGCCGGAAUCGCUAGUAAUCGCGGAUCAGCAUGCCGCGGUGAAUACGUUCCCGGGCCUUGUACACACCGCCCGUCACACCACGAGAGUUUGUAACACCCGAAGUCGGUGGGGUAACCGUAAGGAGCCAGCCGCCUAAGGUGGGACAGAUGAUUGGGGUGAAGUCGUAACAAGGUAGCCGUAUCGGAAGGUGCGGCUGGAUCACCUCCUUU